AAUAAGAUGCCUGAGAAAAGGAUUAUUUUGAUGUAAUAAAUUACGUAAUAUAAAUUACUCUUAUUA
rnacentral:tRNA from 2 species